CCAAAUUGGUAGAGGAGCAUUCUUAAAGGGACGAAGCAGUACCGGAAGGAGCUGUGGACUUUUAAGAAGAGAGAAUGCCGGAAUGAGUAGCGAGAGGAAGGUGGGAAUCCUUCCGGCCGAAUAUCUAAGGUUUCCAGAGUAAAGCUGAUCUGCUCUGGGUAAGUCGGGGCCUAAGGCGAGGUCGAAAGACAUAGUCGAUGGUUAACAGGUUGAAAUUCCUGUACUAUCCUGUAACAGAACUGUGGGGACACAGGCAGAGAGCGUGAGCCGGGAAUGGAAAGACCGGUACAAGCGAGGUAGGAGAAGAGUUGGCAAAUCCGCUCUUUAAUCUGAAGACGUGAUGUGGACUGAAAAUAAGUAGGGAAGCACGUGAGCUGACUGUCAAGAAAAGCCGCUAUUGUUUGCAGGAUACCCGUACCGUAAACCGACACAGGUGGAUGAGGAGAGAAUCCUAAGGCCGACGGGAGAAGCAUUGUUAAGGAACUCGGCAAAAUGACUCCGUAACUUCGGGAGAAGGAGUGCCAGUAAGAUGGCCGCAGAGAAUUGGCCCAAGCAACUGUUUAGCAAAAACACAGGUCUAUGCAAAACCGAAAGGUGAGGUAUAUGGGCUGACGCCUGCCCGGUGCUGGAAGGUUAAGGGGAGAGGUUAGCGCAAGCGAAGCUUUGAACUUAAGCCCCAGUAAACGGCGGCCGUAACAAUAACGGUCCUAAGGUAGCGAAAUUCCUUGUCGGGUAAGUUCCGACCCGCACGAAAGGCGUAAUGAUUUGGGCACUGUCUCAACAAUGCACCCGGUGAAAUUGAAAUACCAGUGAAGAUGCUGGUUACCUGCGCCAGGACGGAAAGACCCCAUGGAGCUUUACUCCAGCUUGAUACUGGGAUUCGGUAUUGCAUGUACAGGAUAGGUGGGAGGCUAGGAAAUGGUAACGCCAGUUGCCAUGGAGCCAAUGUUGGGAUACCACCCUUGCAGUACUGGGUUUCUAACCAGCAGCCGUGAUCCGGCUGGGGGACAAUGUCAGGUGGGGAGUUUGACUGGGGCGGUCGCCUCCGAAAGGGUAUCGGAGGCGCUCAAAGGUUCCCUCAGAAUGGUUGGAAACCAUUCGAAGAGUGCAAAGGCAGAAGGGAGCUUGACUGCGACACCGACGGGUGGAGCAGGUACGAAAGUAGGACUUAGUGAUCCGGUGGUAUAAAGUGGGAUUGCCAUCGCUCAACGGAUAAAAGCUACCCUGGGGAUAACAGGCUUAUCACUCCCAAGAGUUCACAUCGACGGAGUGGUUUGGCACCUCGAUGUCGGCUCAUCGCAUCCUGGGGCUGAAGUAGGUCCCAAGGGUUGGGCUGUUCGCCCAUUAAAGCGGUACGCGAGCUGGGUUCAGAACGUCGUGAGACAGUUCGGUCCCUAUCCGGCGUGGGCGUAAGAUAUUUGAGAGGAGCUGUCCUUAGUACGAGAGGAUCGGGAUGGACUGGCCGCUGGUGUAUCUGUUGUCUUACCAAAGGCAUAGCAGAGUAGCCAAGCCGGGAAGGGAUAAACGCUGAAGGCAUCUAAGCGUGAAGCCCCCCUCGAGAUGAGAUAUCUCAUAACGUCAAGUUAGUAAGACCCCUUGAAGACGACGAGGUAGAUAGGGCAGAGGUGGAAGUGAGGUAACACAUGGAGCUGACUGUUACUAAUAGGUCGAGGGCAUAACCU
rnacentral:rRNA from 1 species